AUGGAGACGGCGGCAGUCCCCUCCAGCAAGCGCGCCCGCCUCGGCGGCUCCGACCGGCUAAGCGACCUGCCAGACUGCCUCCUGCACGACAUCCUGUCCCUCCUCGGGUGCCGGCAGGCCGUGCGGACGAGCGCGCUCUCGCGUCGGUGGAGGCAGCUCUGGCGCUUCAUGACCUGCCUCAACAUCGACCAGCGCGAGUUCCAGCGCCCCGGCGUCCCACCGCCAUUAGACGUGUGCCAGUGGGACAGCUUCGAAGACAUGGCCGACAGCCUGCUGUCGUCGUCGAUCACCGCCCCAUCGGCGCCGCUGGACGCGUUCCGCCUGCACUUGGUCGACGGCAGCAGGAAGACGGCCUUCGACAGGUGGAUCCGCCGCGGGCUCGCGCGCCGGCCGGCUGCGGUCGACAUACACUACGGCUGCGCCUACGUCGGCGGGGUCUGCUGGCCGGACACGUCGCGCUUGGCCUCCGGCGCUACCUGCCGCCUCACAAGGCUCCGUCUCUUCGGCGUCCAGCUGAGCCCUAGUUUCGGGCGGGAUCUCGACGACCAGUGCCCCGUCCUCGAGGACCUGCACAUCGAGAACUGCAGAGAAGAUUUCUGCUACGUCGCAUCUCCCUCGCUCAAGAGCUUCGCGCUCGUCAGCCCCUCCGAUGAUUUCUACUACAGGUGCUCCGCUCUUGUCCUAGCGUUUCCUCGCCUAGCCUCGUUGCGCCUCGUGCUCCCGUUCGGCAGCCACCGUGGCUACCCCGUCGUCACUUCUAAGAACGAGGUGCUGGCAUCGCUCGUCCAGGCAUCCAUCUGUAUAAAGGACAUGGAUGACGAGGUGCAGCGGAACAGGCGGGUGAUGAAGCCACACAAGCUUGAUUUCUUGAAGUCCAUGUGCAACUUCCUCGCCUGCAUCCCCAAUGUCAGAAAUCUACACCUCUCGGGGUUUACCACGACAGUAUGUAUCAAUUCUAGCUCCCACCGUGUCUUUGAAAUUUGA
rnacentral:rRNA from 1 species